rnacentral:rRNA from 1 species
UACAGAGGUCUCAAGCGUUGUUCGGAUUCAUUGGGCGUAAAGGGUGCGUAGGUGGCGCGGUAAGUCGGGUGUGAAAUUUCGGAGCUUAACUCCGAAACUGCAUUCGAUACUGCCGUGCUUGAGGACUGGAGAGGAGACUGGAAUUUACGGUGUAGCAGUGAAAUGCGUAGAGAUCGUAAGGAAGACCAGUGGCGAAGGCGGGUCUCUGGACAGUUCCUGACACUGAGGCUCGAAAGCGUGGGGAGCAAACAGG